rnacentral:rRNA from 1 species
AUUGAACGCUGGCGGCAUGCCUUACACAUGCAAGUCGAACGGUAACGCGGGGCAACCUGGCGACGAGUGGCGAACGGGUGAGUAAUAUAUCGGAACGUGCCCAAUAGUGGGGGAUAGCCCGGCGAAAGCCGGAUUAAUACCGCAUACGACCUGAGGGUGAAAGCGGGGGAUCGCAAGACCUCGCGCUAUUGGAGCGGCCGAUAUCAGAUUAGGUAGUUGGUGGGGUAAAGGCCUACCAAGCCUACGAUCUGUAGCUGGUCUGAGAGGACGACCAGCCACACUGGGACUGAGACACGGCCCAGACUCCUACGGGAGGCAGCAGUGGGGAAUUUUGGACAAUGGGCGCAAGCCUGAUCCAGCCAUGCCGCGUGAGUGAAGAAGGCCUUCGGGUUGU